rnacentral:tRNA from 1 species
ACUUUUAUAGGAUGGAAGUAAUCCGUUGGUCUUAGGAGCCAAAAAAUUGGUGCAACUCCAAAUAAAAGUA